rnacentral:ncRNA from 1 species
GAAUAAGCAAUGAUCAUGAGUAGUAUUGAUUAUGAUAAUCUCAGAGAAUGGGUGUCUGCUGGAAAUCCCUGAUUAGUCUAAUUAAGAAGUAGCAUGAAAGCUGAUAUAGUGAAGAGAAGUAGCUAUAGCUGGACUAACAGGCCAUUAUUUCUGUUAUUAAGAGAUCAUUAUUCAAUUAUGUAAUGAUAAUUUAGGUGGUACCGCGAAGCAUUCGUCCUAUAG